GAGACCUGGGAUGUUUGGGCAGCCCCUCCAGAGAGAGCGAUAGAGACUGUGCUGGCAGCACAGCCGGCCAGAAGCGGGGGAUGCCGCGAGAGAAGGUGCCCGGCAGCUGUGGGAGUCCUGGGCAGACAGAGGCGAAGAUUUUAACCCCUUUGUAGGAUAAUGGAAACCUUACAAAUACUGAUCCUCCUGAAUGAGAAUGAGGAGAGAGAGAUGAAGCAUGACGAAAUGGGCAAGUGUGAGGAAAGUUUGGAAGAGAAGAAUGACUAGAAGAUGGGCUGGAACACUGUGUAUAGAGAAGGAGUCUGGCAGAUGGAACCUACUGAAGUCAAGUUCUCUACAUGUCUUGAAUUUACACUCUGAUUGUUAAUAUAAGUUGGAGUCUGUACCAGUGCAUCUGUUUUCUUCUCAUUUUCAGAUGGAUCAAUAGAUAGACAGGUUCAGAAAACCUAAAGCUAAAGGAUGAAAAUAUGAAGAAAUUCCAUCUUGUAAGAUAAUUAUGGUAAAGAAGAAGAGACUCAAUCUUUUCCAUCCACUGGAAAGCAAUAAGAAAAUCCCUUAAUAUGCAGCACUGAAUAUCAAGGUGUUAGGACUCUUAUUUCCUCACUUCCGCAACUACAUAGGUAAUUAAAAUAUUGGGAUAAGUUAAGACUAAAAAACUUACAUAAGUUCAUUGAAGAAGGUAAUGCUUCUUAUAACCAUAUUGAACUAACAAAGCAAUUAUAUGGAUUAGAAUAAAGAAAUUCAAAUAAUAAUAAAUGCACUUAUUGUUAGCUACAUUUCCCUGAAUUUCAGCUGUCUAGAAGGCAAAACUCAAAGAGAAUUUUGCAGAAAUUCUUUAGGCAAAAUGAAAAAAAAAGAAAAAAGUUUAAAUUAGCUAAAUUAACUUCAAAAGUGAACUUUUUGUCUCCAUUACCUAAUGAGAAGUGCUUUCUUUAUGGGAUUUUUUGUUUGUCUCUUUGUUUAUUCUUAAUUGUAGUAUUUGUUAGUGUUCAGAUUAAUAUUGCAGAACAAACAGAAGACUAAGUGAUUUUAAAAUUUGUGUUGUUCCAGUUCUCAGAUAUUUUAAACUGGUAAGUUCAGAAAUAUCUUCAUUUGGGCUUUAUCACAGGAUCCUGCUUUUCAGCAGACCCAUAAAAUAAGACCAUGCAGUAACUGCUACAUCUUUUCUGGGGUUUGUUUUGGCUAAUUGUGUGUAACUAAUUGGACAUUUCCAUGUUCCCCAAUGUUACAUUUAUAUUAUUUAUUUGAAAGCACAGUAUUGAAAACUGUUAUUUUAGUUUUCUGUUUCUAUUCUAAUAUGAAGUGCUUCUCUUAAUCAGACACAAGAGCAAUGGCUCUGUAUUUUAUUUCUAAUAGCCCAAUUUUCCAAGAAAAUUAAGAGCCAAAGAGAGUGUUCUGAUUGCAUGUCUAUUUUCAUUCAUUUGAAAAGAUUCUUUGAUACUGUUUUUUUUCCAAAAUAUUUGUUAGGCACUACUAAAAAAUUAUAAUUGAAAAUCAGGAACUACUGUAAUUUCAGAUCUUUAUUGAAGUUGAAUAAAAUGUUCUGCAUAACUGCAGUAGGUACAUAUUUUAUUGCAAAUGUUGUUUGGUUGAAAGAUUUUUUUAGGGGGGUGGCUUUUUUAUUUUGGUUAUGAAGUUUGAAGAAAUAACCAUUCUUAAAUAGGAGAAAAUAAUCUGGCAUUACUUUUAGAUGUAUAUAAUUCUAGUCAGGAAACAAUGUGAGAUAUUCAGGAAAAAAAUUACAAGAAAGCUGUGAACCAUAAAUAUACACAUGUAUAUUUCCUUUUUGUCUCUUGAGAAAAGACCUACAUGAAUGUGAUAUAAUUCAGGGGAUUUUUUUUUUAAGUCUCAGAAAUAGUAACUAUAAGUUAAUGAUCCAUGAGUGACAGAGUAAGCCAGGCUGUUAUUGCUCAUGCUGAAAAGGCCUAUUCAAUAAGUAACUUGUAGUUAUUUGCCUGGUAGGGUAGGUUGCUUGCCCUAGUAAGGAACUUGAUAUAUCAAAAACCUGCCAGGUUGAGUUUACAGGCUUUUAAUAUUAUUUUUCUAAAUUUUGAUUAAUCUCUAAAAGGAAGACAGAUAUUUUUAAACUAGUGUUCAUUAUUAUUGAGGGAUAUCCUCUUUCUGCAGUUUUAUUAACUGAUUAGCAGCUCUAUUCUAUUUAAAUAAUUUAAACACGUAAAGAAAGUGGACUGAAAUAUGUAAGGCAACUGAAAUUAAACUUAUAAUGUCAUCAACUCAAACUAACUUGUUGCUUAAACAAAGAGAAGGGAAAGAUUCAGAUGUCUAAUAAGCCUCUUGCUCUUAGAGCAGUAAGGCUCUUCCAUCCGAUAUUGAGACAUGCUCAGUGCAGAAAUGAGGUGUAUCAGUGCCUUAACCAGUGCCUGUGGCUUAUAACUAUAUGUUCCAAAUUGCACUCAUGGUUGUGCUUGUUCUUUUUCCAUGGGGUUUUCAAUCUUUGUUUGUAUUCAGUAACACAGACUAAACAUGAACCACUGCCAGCAUGGAUUCCUUUGUUAAAAACAACAAAAAAACCCCCGAUAUGAAUCCUAUCUGACAGGAAUAAAUUUAAUUCCUUUUCCCCACUACCUAGAUCAGGUAUUUAAUUACCAUAUUAUUAAACACAUUUGCUGUUGUCCUUUGCCAGCAAGUCCAGAGAGUUCAUUGUGUAUAUCCAAAAGUCUUGGCAAAACCCUUGAUUCAAUGAAUAGUUUUAGGCUUUGAAUCACUGCUUCAGAGUCUUUAUUUUUUCUGGGUUGCAUAAUCAAGCUGAUGGAUUUCAGCCACUCCUUUUCCAAAAGAAUAAUAAUGGAUCAAAACCAUAAGAUCCUUUCUAUGGUUAACAGUGAAAGAAAGGCAAGGAGAUAGGCCAAGGAGGUCAGUACAGCAAUAACCCAGACAUAGCUUAUAAUAAAACCCUUAAGGCUUUGUUAAGUUUAGUAAUUUACUUUGUAGAAUAUUGUUAUUUAUGUAGUUAUUGUCUGUUUAAUACACUCUUCAGAAACUCAUUAAAUUCACCAUUAAGUAUGCAACUUUUAUUUUAGUUAAAGCAUCUAAGUAAAAAAUCAAAUGUGAAUUUACACUUCAAAUAAAGAAAAAUCUAGAA